ACGAACGCUGGCGGCGUGCUUAAGACAUGCAAGUCGAGCGGGGGGACCCAGAGCAGCUUGCUGUGAGGGUUCCCUAGCGGCGGACGGGUGAGUAACGCGUGGGCAACCUACCCGCGAAUCGGGGACAACAGUGGGAAACCGCUGCUAAUACCGGAUGAGCUUUUCUGACCGCAUGGUCGGGGAAGGAAAAGGCAGCCUCUGCAUAGCAAGCUGUCGUUCGCGGAUGGGCCCGCGUCCCAUUAGCUAGUUGGUGGAGGUAACGGCCCACCAAGGCGACGAUGGUAGCCG
rnacentral:rRNA from 1 species